GUGCCAGCCGCCGCGGUAAUACCGGCAGCCCGAGUGAUGGCCGAUCUUAUUGGGCCUAAAGCGUCCGUAGCUGGCUGCGCAAGUCCGUCGGGAAAUCCACUCGCCCAACGAGUGGGCGUCCGGCGGAAACUGCACGGCUUGGGACCGGAAGGCUCGAGAGGUUCGUCCGGGGUAGGAGUGAAAUCCCGUAAUCCCGCACGGACCACCGAUGGCGAAAGCACUUCGAGAAAACGGAUCCGACAGUGAGGGACGAAAGCCAGGGUCUCCAACCGGAUUAGAAACCCUGGUGCC
rnacentral:rRNA from 1 species